ACACAGGCUAUCUCUCAUGCUCAAGCAGGCACAGCAAUAGUGACGCACACACUCAUAGCUGGUCUGUCUCCCUUGAUAGCUGAAGUCUAGCAGAAUCCUGCAUGGAAAAAUAUAGAUUUUUACUGCUCCUCCUUUUCACACUCUAUUGGUGUGAAUAAAAUCAACAUUUAGUGUCUGCCCUCUAAUCAUCAAACAUCCCCCCCCCCCCAUCAAUCCUUUUUUCUCCACCUCUUGAUUGGACAGGAGAUAC